GGGACUAUUCCUUUAAAAUAUCAUCCACUUUGAAUUAUAAUUAUACACUUACAUGCUUAAAACAGUCCAUCACCACAAGUAAAGUGCAUACUCUGAGCAUGGCUUGCAUGUUGGGUUUUAUCUCUAGUUUCUACAACACCAAGUCUGUAGUGCUGUGCAUUGGCAUCACUGCCACAGUGUGUUUGUGUGUCACCAUCUUCAGCUUUCAG